UACGUAGGGUGCGAGCGUUAAUCGGAAUUACUGGGCGUAAAGCGUGCGCAGGCGGUUCGUUGUGUCGGCGGUGAAAGCCCCGGGCUUAACCUGGGAAUGGCCGUCGAAACUGGCGAACUGGAGUGUGGCAGAGGGGGUGGAAUUCCGCGUGUAGCAGUGAAAUGCGUAGAGAUGCGGAGGAACACCGAUGGCGAAGGCAGCCCCCUGGGCUGACACUGACGCUCAGGCACGAAAGCGUGGGAGCAAACAGG
rnacentral:rRNA from 1 species